CCUACGGGAGGCAGCAGUGGGGAAUAUUGCACAAUGGGGGAGACGCUGAUGCAGCGACGCCGCGUGAGUGAUGACGUAUUUCGGUAUGUAAAGCUCUAUCAGCAGGGAAGCAAUAAAGUCCUUUGGACUUUGGACGGUACCUGCCUAAGAAGCCCCGGCUAACUACGUGCCAGCAGCCGCGGUCAUACGUAGGGGGCAAGCGUUAUCCGGAUUUACUGGGGGUAAAGGGCGUGCAGCCGGAGAGACAAGUCAGGCGUGAAAUUCACGGGCUCAACACGUGAACUGCAGUUGAAACUGUUUUUCUUGAGUGUCGGAGAGGUAAGCGGAAUUCCUGGUGUAGCGGUGAAAUGCGUAGAUAUAAGGAAGAACACCAGUGGCGAAGGCGGAGUACUGGAGGAUAACUGACGGUGAGGCGCGAAAGCGUGGGGAGCAAACAGGAUUAGAUACCCCUGUAGUC
rnacentral:rRNA from 1 species